AGUUCAUGAGUUUCCGAUUUUAUAGUUGCUGAUUGGAUUACUUCCAUGUUUCCUACUUUCCUGCAACUUAUGUGCAAGCAAUAAAGCGACUGUAGGUCAUUUUAA